UAGAGACCCAGCAGUCCUCAAACUAUGGCCCCUGGACCAGCAGCAUCAGCAGCACCUGGGGCUCACCAGAAACUCGAGUUCCCGGACCCAGUCUUCCACAGGCUAUCAGUGUUUCAAUACGUGUUCCAGGGGAUUCUUAAUGCCUGCUUAAGCUCCAGAGUACCAUAUGUUCAACAAUUAGUAAACUCCCAUAUAUUUUUGGUAAACUCACUAAGAAAGUGCAAUGGAUAGUUUGGCCUAAGGGGAGCCUCCUGGAGGAGAACCAACCCUGAAGACACCUCUACUCAAUUUCUGUGGACAACAAACCUCUCCUCAGGAAUCUUCCAGACUGUAUACAGAAGGCAACAGGAAGUCGCAUCCAGGAAUGUGUUGAGUGUGCCUGUGCUUAAUUUCGUACAAGUGGAAGAACACUUAGCAUCCAGCAGGCCCCUCUUAAGCUCUGUUCCCAGCCGCGGCCCUGCUGUUUUAAGUGUGUGGACGUGGUGGCUGCGGUGUCUUGUCGCUUCUGCUAGGCUUUAUUUCCAGAAAGAGCUUUCAGGGUAGACUCUUAUCAGUGUAUUGCUGCUCUUCUGGAAUAGUGAAAUCGAAAAUUCAGCCUUAAAAUGUCGUAUAUUUUAGUACCUUCCACUAUACAUAAUAGAAUGCAUGGGGUUUCCUAACAAGAGAACCGAAUUUAUGACUUCUACAUUGCAAGUUUCCAGGGGGCGGAAGCUAUAAAAACAAAAAGCAAAGUUGUCUCCAGGCUUUGAAGAUUGUUUUCAACACACUGAAAGUCAUCUUGAUGAGGUUAUUAUGUGUCUUCUAGGAUGGUAAUUUUAUCUAUAAUAAACGAUUAGAAUGGGAUAAAAG